UACGGAGGGUGCAAGCGUUUAAUCGGAAUUACUGGGCGUAAAGCGUGCGUAGGCGGUUCGUUAAGUCUGUUGUGAAAGCCCCGGGCUCAACCUGGGAAUGGCAAUGGAUACUGGCGAGCUAGAGUGUGUCAGAGGAUGGUGGAAUUCCCGGUGUAGCGGUGAAAUGCGUAGAGAUCGGGAGGAACUCAGUGGCGAAGGCGGCCAUCUGGGACAACACUGACGCUGAGGCACGAAAGCGUGGGGAGCAAACAGGG
rnacentral:rRNA from 1 species